AAGAAAUGAAGAUGCUAAGAUUGGUCUCAGUGUUGAAAUGAAGCCACUUGGAUCCAACUCUGAUCUUGCUCUAAAC
rnacentral:snoRNA from 14 species